UACGUAGGGACCAAGCGUUGUUCGGAUUUACUGGGCGUAAAGGGGGCGUAGGCGGCGCGGUAAGUCACUUGUGAAAUCUCUGAGCUUAACUCAGAACGGCCAAGUGAUACUGCAGUGCUAGAGUGUGGAAGGGGCAAUCGGAAUUCUUGGUGUAGCGGUGAAAUGCGUAGAUAUCAAGAGGAACACCUGAGGUGAAGACGGGUUGCUGGGCCAACACUGACGCUGAUGCGCGAAAGCCAGGGGAGCAAACGGG
rnacentral:rRNA from 1 species